GGGAGGUUGGCGAGGGACGUUUCACUCGCCAACCGGGUCAGGUCCGGAAGGAAGCAGCCCUAACGAGACCGAGCGGGUCUUCGUCCAGCCUCCCACCCUCGC
rnacentral:SRP_RNA from 2 species